rnacentral:rRNA from 1 species
CACGUAGGGCGCAAGCGUUGUCCGGAAUUAUUGGGCGUAAAGAGCUCGUAGGCGGUCUGUUGCGUCCGCUGUGAAAACCCGGGGCUUAACCCCUGGCUUGCAGUGGGUACGGGCAGACUAGAGUGCGGUAGGGGUGACUGGAAUUCCUGGUGUAGCGGUGGAAUGCGCAGAUAUCAGGAGGAACACCGAUGGCGAAGGCAGGUCACUGGGCCGCAACUGACGCUGAGGAGCGAAAGCAUGGGGAGCGAACAGG